CCCACGGGGCGUCGGCGCGCGAGUGGCCAGGAGUGACCGGCCGGGGGCGGGGCCACGGGGCCGCGUGGGGAACCCUGCGUCCCGCGCCGCCGGCUCCCUCCGCCCGGAAACAUGGAACUGUGGAAAAAUUCGGCCUUUCUCUUCCAGUCCGUAGAUCUCUGUGCGCCAAAGGGGAAAAAUGAGGUGACACCGGUGCCGCUGGUCCAGGACCUCAUUUUGAGAUCCUGUGAUUCGCAGGUGUUCCUCUUGCCCAGUGAAGCAGGCAAAUUGGGGCCAAGAGCUGGACAUACCUGACUCCAAAGAAGAGAUGGGGAAAGAGUCCUGAAAAGAAAAGUGGAAACAGGGAGACCAGGACAGGGACCAAGAAGGGACAGACUGGAGAAGAACCGUCUGCCUCCUGGGGAUUUCUGUGCUGUUUGCUUUGUGGUGGCUGGCCAUCAUUACCAAAAUGCAGUUUUAGAACAUUUCCAUUAGCCCAGUAAGUUUCCUCCUGCUGGUUUUUGCUUAAUCCCUUCUCCCAUCCCAAGCCCUUGGCAACCACUGAUCUGCCUUUUUCUCUAUGAAUUUGCCUUUUCUUUGUGUUUCUUAUAAAUGGAACCAUACAAUAUGUAGUGUUUGCAUCUGGCUUCUUUGAUUUCGUAUUUUUUAGAGCUUAAUCUGUGUUGUAGCAUGUAGCAGUAGAUCAUUCCUUUUUAUGUCUAAGUGGUAAUUUAUUAUAUGGAUAUACCACAACUUGUUUUUCCCCUCAAGUUGCUGGACAUUUCGAUUUGUUGUGGUUUGAAUUGUGCCCCCUCCACAAUUCAUAACUUGAAGAUAACCCCAUGUGACCUUAUUUGCAAAUGGGGUUUUGUAGAUUCCUGAUCUAUGGACUCUUUUAUCACUAGGAAACAUCUGUUUUUGUUUCUAGUAAUAUUUCUUGUCUUUACAUCUAUUUUAGCUAAUAUCCACAUGGGCCACGCAACUUUCUUAUGGUUGCUUUUUUCACAGUGUAUCUUUUUUCAUCUUUCUACUUUCAGCCUCGUUCUGUCUCUGAAUCUAAGUGUGUCUCUUGCGUACCACAUAUGUUUGGACCUUGCUUUUUGUAUCCAAUCCGAAUCUCUCCACUCUUCAUUUGGGAUGUUUAGGCCAUUCACAUUUACUGUAAUUCAUAAUAUGUUUGGAUUUACAUUUUCCAUUUUGCUGUUUGUCUCUUCUCAUCUUUGUUUCUCUGUAUCUCAUUCAUUGCUUUCUUUUGUGUUAAAUAAGUACUUUUGGGUAUAUCAUCUAAAUUCUCCUGUUAACUUUUCUUACUGUGUUAAAAUGUAUUUUCUUAAUGGUUCCUCCCUAGAUUUCAGCAUCUUAACUCAGCAAAAUCUAGUUGAGACUAAUACUAAUUUAAUUCUGGUAAAAUAUAGAAACUUUACUGCAGUAUAGCUCAAUUUUCUCCCCUCUCCUUUGUAUUAUUAUUGUUAUUACAUUUAUAUGUGCUGUAAACCCAACAAUACAGUGUUAUGAGUAUUGUUGGACACAAUCUUAUGUCUUGUAAAGAAAUUAAAAGGAGAAAUGAAGCAAAUAUAUUUAUAGAGUCUUCUAUAUUAACCUACGUAUUUACCAUUUCCAGUGCUUUUCA